CAAAGUGGGUGGCCCAGGAAAGAGAGUCGGAGGAGAGUACAAGGUCCCCACCCACUGUGGGCUCACCUGGGCCCAGAGGAAUCCGUUCUUCCCAGGUCAGAUGCAAACAGUUCCUUGGUUCGGAGCAGGAGCCUGGGGCUGGACCAUGGGUGAGGGCAGGUGAUUUUGGAGCAGGGUCUCUGGGCAGGGAGGGGCCAGGUUUGCACAGGGCUGAGGCAGCAGUUUAGCCUCUGGUAGGGACAGCUCUCCCCACUCCCUGCAAGGCUGUGGUGGUCCCCUGUGAAAAUGCAUUGUCCCCCUCCUCCAGGGCUCCAAGGUGCUGUCCCCAAGCAGUCAUCACCCCAGACCUGGGUCUCUGAGGCUCAAUGUGGGUGGGCCUACCUCUGCCACCCGGGGCUCCAGCUUUGUGUCAGACCCACGGGAAUUUCACUCUUGACUCCACCCUGGUACUCCUCCACCUUUCUAACCUCAGUUUUUCUCAUCUGGAAAAUGGGAACAGGGGCCCCUACAGCAGGGGGUUCCAUGGUAUGCCCUUUCCCCUUGGCUGGCCACAGGUUAACUCUGGGUGACCGCAGGGCCAAGGCGCAGGAAGCAACGAAGCUGAGUCCAGUCCAUCCUUCCAUCCCACGUGCGGCGCCAGGACCUUCAGGAAGUCACUGAGACAGAGCCACAUGGAGGAGCGGGGAGAUAUCUGGCUGGCCUUGGGAGGGUUGGCCUCAGUAGCCUGUGGGGAAGCGAAUUCCAGGCCCCUCUCGGCUUCCUCCUGGGUCCAUUCUCUCACCCAAGCUCUGGCUUGAGCACCUGGCUGGAGCCCCUGUCCAGAGACAGCUAGGGACCCAUGACCAGCCCAGAGGAAUGGGGGGGCAAGGGGCUUACAUUCCUCUCUCUUUCUCUGCCUCAUUCUCUGCUCCCCAGACCAGGAGAUAAAGGACUGGGUUUAAAUUCCGGCUUUGUCAUUCACCAACUAUAAGGCAUUGGGCAAGGUAUUGGAUCUCUCCAAGCCUCAGUUUUCUCAUCUGUAAAGUGGGAGUGGCCAGGUGCAGUGGCUCAUGCCUGUAAUCCCAGCACUUUGGGAGGCCGAGGCAGGUGGACCACCUGAGGUCCGGAGUUCAAGACCAGUCUGGCCAACAUGGUGAAACCCCGUCUCUACUAAAAAUACAAAACUUAGCCAGGCAUGGUGGUGAUUGCCUGUAAUCCCAGCUACUCAGGAGGCUGAAGCAGGAGAAUUACUUGAACGUGGGAGGCGGAGUUUGUGGUGAGCUGAGAUCGUGCCAUUGCACUCCAACCUGGGUGACAGAGCAAAACUUCAUCUCAAAAAAAAAAAAAAAUUAGCUGGUGUGGUGGUGUCCACUUGUAGUCCCAGCUACUCAGGAGGCUGAGGUAGGAGGAUCACUUGAACCCAGGAGGUUGAGGCUGCAGUGAGCCAAGGUCAUGCCACUCCACUUCAACCUGGGUGACAGAGAACCUGUCUCAAAAAUAAAA